CCUACGGGUGGCAGCAGUGGGGAAUAUUGGGCAAUGGGCGCAAGCCUGACCCAGCAACGCCGUGUGAAGGAAGAAGGCCCUCGGGUUGUAAACUUCUUUUGUCGGGGACGAAACAAAUGACGGUACCCGACGAAUAAGCCACGGCUAACUACGUGCCAGCAGCCGCGGUAAUACGUAGGUGGCAAGCGUUAUCCGGAUUUACUGGGUGUAAAGGGCGUGUAGGCGGGAGUGCAAGUCAGAUGUGAAAAUUAUGGGCUCAACCCAUAACCUGCAUUUGAAACUGUACUUCUUGAGUGAUGGAGAGGCAGGCGGAAUUCCGUGUGUAGCGGUGAAAUGCGUAGAUAUACGGAGGAACACCAGUGGCGAAGGCGGCCUGCUGGACAUUAACUGACGCUGAGGCGCGAAAGCGUGGGGAGCAAACAGGAUUAGAUACCCGGGUAGUCGUG
rnacentral:rRNA from 1 species